UGGAUGUCUCACAUGCCCCACGCAGGCGGGGGCGUGACAAAAAUCAAGUUCAAAAGUGAACUCAGCACAAAGUUGCAUCAAUUGUUUAUCUUGUGCUUAUUACAUGCUGGCUUGAUCCAAGAACAGAUUAAAUGGAUGAUUUCUCCAUAAGUUACAAACAUUAAAAACCUCAAUCACAAUAAGGGAUAAAAUCCAAGUAGGAAUUCUUGACCAUUAUCUUAUUUUAUGUGUUGAUCACACCUUUUUUUCAUUCUCC
rnacentral:lncRNA from 1 species